CUUCGUCCGCCUGCUGCGGGCUGAUGAAGUGGAUGUGCGUGUCCAGGCCGCCCGCGGUGAGGAUGAGCCCUUCACCGGCGAUGACCUCCGUGGUGACGCCCACCACCAUGCCCGGCGUGACGCCCGCCAUGACGUCCGGGUUGCCCGCCUUGCCGAUGGCGGAGAUGCGCCCCGCCUUGAUACCCACGUCCGCCUUGAAGAUGCCCGUCCAGUCCACCACGAGCGCGUUGGUGAUGACGCAGUCGAGCGCGUCCGCGUCGCCCGUGCCCGCGCGCUGGCCCAUGCCUUCGCGCAG
rnacentral:sRNA from 1 species